rnacentral:lncRNA from 10 species
CGGCGGGGCUGCCUGGCCGGUGCUGUUGGGGCUGCUGCUGGCGCUGUUAGUGCCGGGCGGUGGUGCCGCCAAGACCGGUGCGGAGCUCGUGACCUGCGGGUCGGUGCUGAAGCUGCUCAAUACGCACCACCGCGUGCGGCUGCACUCGCACGACAUCAAAUACGGAUCCGGCAGCGGCCAGCAAUCGGUGACCGGCGUAGAGGCGUCGGACGACGCCAAUAGCUACUGGCGGAUCCGCGGCGGCUCGGAGGGCGGGUGCCCGCGCGGGUCCCCGGUGCGCUGCGGGCAGGCGGUGAGGCUCACGCAUGUGCUUACGGGCAAGAACCUGCACACGCACCACUUCCCGUCGCCGCUGUCCAACAACCAGGUGAGCCCCUCCCGGAGCCCCCAGAGAGACUCCUGGCCUGUGUGAGGGGCCAGAGACAGAGCCCUGGGUUCCAAUCCGAGCCUCAGCUUCUUCGUGAAAUGGAAAUUUCACUUCAGAGAUGGUUACUGAGCGCCCCCUCGGGGGACACAGAGUAACUCCGCCAGGAUCCUGCCCUCAGGUGCUCCCGGCCCGGCAGGGAGAACGACGGGAGAGAGAUCCGGAGAGAUACGCCUG